GAUACCUCAAAUGUCAGAAGCUAGAUGUCUUUUCUUUGGGGCUUGUCAGUUUCUCAUGAGAAAUAUCUUAUAAUCUCUUGCCUGAGGAGGCAUUCACUUGGCUGCCAGUGUUCUGGAAGUAGUUCAGGGGAAGAGGUCUGGAUGAGUAACUGCUUAGGGUGCAAUCUUUCACACUCUUUCCUUUCCGGCAGUUGCCUUAUUCCUGCCCUUCUUUGUGCCUGCUGGACAAGCCUCUCUCCUCUUUCUCAUGCUGACUGCGAGGAGUGGGACAGGGCACCUGAGACUCCAGCAACUCCAAGUGCCAACAUUGACCUGGCCUCUUGCUUUUAGCUGCUCACCUCUCCCUCACCCUUCCGGGAUCCUGGGGCCCCUCAUCAGCAUUUUCUUCUAGUGAUCUCUGUCAUCUCCAAGGCCCAGACCACUCUAGGGUUUUGUAGGGAAUUGGGCUCUUUCUGUACUGACCACUAUGGCCAUAUUAGAGUGUAGCUUUCACUGUUCUGUUAAACUAGUUUUCACUCCUCCAUCGACCCUCUCUAUUCUUCAGAAUUGUGUUGAAAUAUAGCUUUUGCUGAUGACUCCUCCUCUAUCUUCUUUGCCCCUUUGGAUUUAUCCCUUCAUGUUCUUUUACUAUCCUUUUCAGGGGAGAAUGAAGAUAAAUAUGUGUGUUUAAUCGUUUAAUCUGAAGUCCGUUUCCAAAAUUAUACAAAAGAUUUUACCAAACUGUCCCAAAUUGUCUGUGCAAAGAAACCCAGUGUUUAUGGUUAAACCAUUCCUUUUGUUGGUUUAUGAUAGUCAAGAAUCUUUUCUUCUUCUUUGGUAUCUAAUAACUCAACUUUGUUCAGAUAGCUUGUUGUCCCCCUACUGGCUAACUACUGCUGUAUUCAUUGGUUAGAUUAGCAAAGGAAAAUGUUCGAAAGGACCAUUUUAAAUUGUCAACCAUGAAAUUACCUGUUACCCAAAUAUUUUGAUUCCUUUGGCAGAAGAGUAGUAUAUAAAUAUGAAAGUUUCUGCCACGCUCACCAUGAGACUCUACUACUCUGUCUCCAAAUAUCUUUAUUCAUAAACACUUAAGUACAGCAGUGGUUCCCAAAGUGUGGUCCCUGGAUGGACUGUCAACAUCAGAUCCCCUGGGAAAUUGUUAGGAAUGCAGAUUCACCAACUCACUCCAGACCCAUGGAAUCAGAAAUUCAAAGAACCUGUGUUUCUAACAAGCCUAUAGGUGGUUCUGAUGCGUCUUAAAAUUUGAGAAACACAGUACAGUAUUCUGACAGCAUAAAGUUGC
rnacentral:lncRNA from 1 species